AGCAAUGUGGAACGCCGUUUGGGUCUUUGCGUGUCAAAAAGAUACACGUCAAAUAACACUAUUUGACACGUCAAAUAAGCUUCUUUAGCAAUCAGGACCUGAAUAUGACUCCAGGUCACACAAUAAUUUAACACGUUCAUUCAUUUUGUACGUAGUUAUUGCACAUUGAUUACACUCUCACUCGUAUUUCAUAUGCCACAAAGAUACGUUAAAUCUGCCUGCCAUUGAUAUUUAACUGUAAUCAAGAUAGAUAGCUAAAGUUAAUUGUUCAUAAUCUAACGUUAAUUAUGGAAUCUAUAAAGCUAGCUAGCGAUGUUGAAUGAAGAUACUUUUUUUGAGCUAGUUUGUAACUAAAGUACGUUAGUUAAAACGGCAUCGCCUGUCAAUGCACGGUUGUCUUCAUAGGUCGGAGGCUCAGAGUUGGCACAGUUUAGACAAGAGAACACUUUAGGGGAACUACAUACAGAUAAAAUGUCACUGGACCCGUCGGGUCUGCGGUCUUAUUUUCAGGCUAGAGACCAUGUUGCGGAGCCUUCGGUGGGCAAGUGGUCAUUUGAUUGAUGAAGAGAUGGCCAGCAAUCUAAUUGCUGUUGCCGAGGAGUUCCUACAAGAGGCAAAUGACAUCCAACAACGGGAACCUUACGAAAAUGCCAAUGUCCUGUCAAGUGCCUUUGGAGGGUAGGCGGUAUCACAUCACCAAGGAGCAGCUUGAGUUCCUCAUAGAUUGUCAUAUGACCAUCAGACAAAUGGCAGAUGUUCUCAAUGUGUCGCACUCUGUGGUCAAGUUGCGCAUGAGGUCCAAGACAUAAAGUCGCCUGAAAGCUGUGUAGCAAUAAUUCCAGCUCCUGAUCCAUAGGAUGGUAAUCACAUACAUGAUUGGCUUAAUCAAGAAUCAUGGAUACCUUUCAUACCUUCUCAUCACAAGUCGGAACUAGUUGUCAACAUUGGGACAGUGCUGCCCAAAAUAACAGGGGCCAAUAUUUUCAUGGAGUGAGCAAGACCUGCCAGCAGAGCUCACUGGAGCAGGGAGACAACCCGUCAUCCUUUAGGCGCCUGACAAAGUACACUUUUUUUCUUCUAAAUAACACUAUAGUAACAUCAUAUGCACAAAGUUACAUUCCUAAUAAGAUUGGUGUUAAGUGAGAAAGAAUUCUAAAGAUGGUCCAAUGGGCAUGGUCUGAAGCCUCUCAUCAUCUCAGUAUGUUGAACCACCUGAUUUCUUGCAGGCUUGAGAUUCAGAUCCUGCUGAACGAUGUUAAGCAGUCGAUUAACCACAUGCAGGGGACGCUGAACACCAUGCAGGGGCAGUGUAUUGAGUUGCAGACUGCCAUAUCUAAGGUAGUGUCAGAUGAGUCUCAGAUACAGAAGAAUAGGUCUAUGAUGGUAUGGUGAUAUGGAUUGAGAUGGUGAUUAUAAUAAUGAUGACUAGCGGUACCCCACCCUAUUGGCGGUAAAUCAUUGGAUCUGAUUAAUUCAAUUCAAUGCAAUUCAAUCUUUGAGGACUGCAACCAUAGAAAUACAAUUUCUUUACACUAAUAAUAAGCUAUUGUCAACUUCCCGUCUAUGGUUAUCUUGCUCAUUGCUCACUGUUACCCUAUGUGUGCAACUAUUAUUGAUUUAUCACAGAAAAAUAAUUUGGUUGCAAAUGUACCUAGUACCAGGUAAAUAAUUGUUAGGCUACUCAUUUUGAAUCCACCGGUGGCAACUUGCGUGACCAUAAAAGUCUGUGUGCGACUGGGCACAGUUAAAUAAUUUGCUUACUGACCUGCCCUACAUCAUAGAAGGCCCUUCAAGUCGGAACUAGGAAAUUCUGACAUUUCUGACUCGUUAUGGAAUGAUGAUUUCAAGUUUCCCACUUGUGAAGUAUCAGAAUCAACCAGUAGGAAGAUCUACGCUAAUAACUUACAUUCAUUUAACUCUGAGGUUCCAAGUUUCCGAUGGCAUGUGAAUGCGUCAAUAAUUGCCAUGGUAAUUUUGAAUGUUCAGUCAGUGAGCAUUAUGGGUAAUUAUCCUACAUACUUACAUCAAAUGCUGUAGUAACAGUGUCAUUCCAAACACAAUAAAUGUGAAAAUUAACAAAGAUACAAAAUAUUGCUAAAGUGAAGAAAAUCAACUCAAAAUUGUAGGAGGAAAUGCCCCUGCAGCAGGGAGGCUUACGGUAUUAUAAUAUAUUGUAGAUAACAUUAAUAUAAUUUGUGUAUUUACAGUAUCAGCACACAUACAAAUGAAAGUAUAUGCUAUGGAUUGAUCUACACUGAGUGAACAAAACAUUAAGAACACCUUCCUAUUGAGUUGUCACCCCUUGGUGGUGGACCAUUCUUGAUACUCAGGGAAAACUGUUGAUCGUGAAAAACACAACAGCAUUGCAGUUCUUGACACAAACCGGUGCACCAGGCACCUACUACCAUACUCUGUUAAAAGGGACUUAAAUCUUUUGUCUUGCUUAUUCACCCUCUGAAUGACACUCAUACACAAUUCAUGUCUCAAUUGUCUAAAAAGCAUUAUGUAACCUGUCUCCUCACAUUCAUCUACACUGAGAAGAAGAUUUAACAAUUGAUAUCAAUAAGGGAUUAUAGCUUUCACCUGAUUAGUCCAUGUCACAGAAAGAGAAGGUGUUCUUAAUGUUUAACACACUCAGUGUAUGUGUAAUUAUUUUUUACCUUUAUUUACUUAGGCAAGUCAGUUAAGAACAAAUAUUUUUUUUCAAUGAAGGUCUAGGAACUGCCUUGUUAAGGGGCAGAACGAAAGAUUUGUAUCUUGUCAGCUCAGUGAUUUGAUUUUGCAACCUUUCGGUUAUUAGUCCAACACUCUAACCACUAGGCUACGCUGCCGACCCAAUGACGUUAUAGAUUCCAAGUGGUUGAUUUUUUAGGGAAUGACUAUAUGCUCUAUAUUAUACCUGCAGAUCAUCACAGCAGCCGAAGUUGCUGUGCAGAGGGAGGAGAUCGUCCGAGCAUCAGGCCUCAUCCCGUCACAUAGGGAGGGUAUCCUCCAAACAGCCAGUGUCCCUGCACAGAGGGAGGGGAUUCUCUCAGCAGCCAGCAUCAAUGCACAGAGGGAGGAGAUCCUCAUUUCGUCAGGCCUCAUCACUGCACAGAGGGAGGGGAUCCUCCAAACAGCCAGUGUCCCUGCACAGAGGGAGGGGAUUCUCUCAGCAGCCAGCAUCAAUGCACAGAGGGAGGAGAUCCUCAUUUCGUCAGGCCUCAUCACUGCACAGAGGGAGGGGAUCCUCCAAACAGCCAGUGUCCCUGCACAGAGUGAGGGGGUCCUCCAAACAGCCAGUGUCCCUGCACAGAGUGAGGGGAUCCUCCAAACAGCCAGUGUCCCUGCACAGAGUGAGGAGAUCCUCCAAACAGCCAGUGUCCCUGCACAGAGUGAGGAGAUCCUCCAAACAGCCAGUGUCCCUGCACAGAGGGAGGGGAUUCUCUCAGCCGCCAGCAUCAAUGCACAGAGGGAGGAGAUCCUCAUUUCGUCAGGCCUCAUCACUGCACAGAGGGAGGGGAUCCUCCAAACAGCCAGUGUCCCUGCACAGAGGGAGGGGAUUCUCUCAGCCGCCAGCAUCAAUGCACAGAGGGAGGAGAUACUCCGAUCAUCAGGCCUCAUCCCUGCACGGAGGGAAGGGAUCCUCCAAACAGCCAGUGUCACUGCGCAGAGGGAGGGAAUCGUCCCAAUGGCCAGCGUCCCUGCGCACAGGGAGGGGAUUGUACCAAAGGCUAGUGUUCCUGCUGAGAGGGAGGAGAUCCUCCAAACAGCCAGUGUCCCUGCACAGAGGGAGGGGAUUCUCCAAACAUCAAGUGUCCCUGCACCAAGGGAGGAGAUUCACCAGUCAGCCAUUGUCCCUGCACAGAGGGAGGGGGUUCUCCGAGCAGCUAGCAUCACUGCGCAGAGGGAGGAGAUCUUCAGAGCAUCAGGCCUCAUCCCUGCACAUAGGAAGGGGCUCCUCCGAGCAUCAGGCCUCAUCCCUGCACAGAGGGAGGGGAUUCUUCCAGCAGCUUCUUCCAUCAGCUACUAUCAGAAGAAUAAGCUCCUCAGAGCAUCACAACUCACCCCUGCACAAAGGAAGUUGAGAUUCCUGAUAGCCAGUGUCACUGCGCAGAGGAAGGGAAUCUUCCCAAAGGCCAGCGUCCCUGCGCACAGGGAGUGGAUUGUCCCAAAGGCUAGUGUCCCUGCAGAGAGGGAGGAGAUCCUCCUCACAGCCAGUGCCCCUGUGAUGAAUGAAAACAAUCCUCCACAACCACCUCCCAUCAUCCCCAUGGUGGCACCACUGUGGAAAAUGAUUGGUGGAGCGUGUCCUCCACCUGUGGAUUUCUAUUCCAAGAGAAGAGAUGUCCGACUUAGAUAUGUUGAGCAUCCUGCUAUGAUGUCCAUCACCAAGCCGGAACACUCUGAUGCCAACCCUCAGUUCCAGACUGGCAGCCGGCCGGUGGCCGAGCCCGAGACCCCUGCUGUUCACAAUAACAGUGGAGGCUGGCUCAGCUGGGUCUUUGGGAGUGGAAGAGCUAAGAAGGAGGUUCAUCUACCUGAGGACAAAGACAGAUCUAUUGUCUGGGAUCCAACUCUGCACAGAUGGGUUAACAGAACUGAGCCCAAGGUUGAGAACAAGUGUGUACCACCUCCACCGAUGGGGACAUAUGGAUAUCAGGGGAACACUGGCAGUGUCCCCAAAGGAGUGAAUCCUUACUCUAUGAAAGCAGCAGGUCUAUGGGGCAGCAGAUACCCUACAAGGAAUUACAAUGAUAGGACCAACUCAAAGCCUCCAAGCCAUGGGCCUGGACUGCUUCCUAGACAGCUCUCUGGCUUGCUCCCUCCUUCCCACUUUGACCUCAUGGCACCAAUGGUUGUGCCACCUGACACUCUACCCUACUGAGGUGCGAGGGCCAUCCUGUGCCACCAGUCAAUUGAUGGUGGAUGACCUUCUGACCCCGUGCUCGCCAGGUGACCCGGCUGCCAUAGAAUUGACCUGGAUGGAUGUGCCUAGCGACAAGCUGCUGUAGCCCAUCUGCAUGUGUCCUGUCAAGCGCCUUUGGAGGGGAGGCGGUAUCACAUCACCAAGGAGCAGCUUGAGUUCCUCAUAGAUUGUCAUAUGACCAUCAGACAAAUGGCAGAUGUUCUCAAUGUGUCGCACUCUGUGGUCAAGUUGCGCAUGAGGUGUAGGAUUGUUAUCCAUGGUGCUGUGGAGGGUUACAGCAGACUUGUUGUGUUUCUGAAGGCCUCUGACAACAACAGGACCGCCACAGUCAUGGAGUCAUUCGAAGCAGCCAUCACCAGCUACGGAACACCAUCCCAGGUGAGAUGUGACCGGGUGGUGAAAACAACCGCAUCUGUGCCUUCAUGGAGCAGUUCAGGGGUGGUGAGAGGGGAAGUGCCCUCAGAGGAAGGAGCACUCACAACCAGAGGAUAGAGCGGCUGUGGGGAGACGUCUGAGUUGGAGUCUCCAACGUUUACCAUGACCUAUUCACCUUCUUGGAGACGGAGCAGAUCAUCGACAUCAACAAUGAGGUGCACCUGUGGGCACUGCACUUUGUGUUCCUGCCACGGGUGAACAGAGAUCUUGCUGUGUUUGCCAGUCAGUGGAACCACCAUGGGCUGAGGACUGUCUCGGGUUCCCUGGCAAUGCAGAGUGCCAAUCUGACAGCAGUAAGGGAUUUGUUGGCCCCAAAUUCAACCACCAUCAGCUCUCAAGCCACCACCUCAGUUCCUCCAACCACCACCUCAGCUCCUCCAACCACCACCUCAGCUCCCCCAACCACUGGCGCCGCAGCUCUUUAUUGGUCGUAAUGGGUGAUUGUGCCACAAAUCCAGUUCACCAUCAUCACACACAGAUGGAACUGUUGCGGACAAUAAUUCCAUUGGAAGGCCCCAGAGGCAGCCUGGGAGUUGACAAUCUACAGAGGGUUAUGGCAGUUAUAUCUUCAGCGCCACUCGUUCCUCCUUCAACCUGAUUUACUACACCCCUGAUACUCCCCUACUGGGAUGAGGGAUUGGACACUAUAUCUUCAGCGCCACUCAUUCCUACUUCAACCUGACUUACUACAUACACCCCUGAUACUCCCCUACUGGGAUGAGGGAUUGGACACUAUAUCUUCAGUGCCACUCGUUCCUACUUCAACCUGACUUACUACAUACACCCCUGAUACUCCCCUAUUGGGAUGAGGGAUUGGACGCUAUAUCUUCAGCGCCACUCAUUCCUUUUAAUCAGUUCAUUUUUAUAAUACUAUUAUACAUUUUAUAAUACUAAUAUUCCCCCUCUUUCACACACUGUAUGAUUUGGUCUGUAGAAACGUACGAUAGACAUCUUCAACUCUAAACGGAUGGGGACCAGAGUUUAGACACAGGUGGCCUUAACAAAAGUUAAGUACUUCCCCAUUCCAGUACGAUUCUGUUUGGUUAUAUUUGGAGAGAGUCAGAUACUGUUAAGAUAUACGGCCGAUGGUUAUUGUAUUUUGCUCUAUUGCGCUUUAGCACAGCAUUCCAUCUGCUGACACAUUAUUUGUCUUCCACUCAGUACAACACGACCCAGGAGAAGCCUACUGCAAGCACUGGUUUGGAACCUUCAGAGCGUGCCUGCUGUGGGAGGACAACAGAACAUUCCGAAUGGACAUUAUUAAAACAGAACUUACAUUUUUGUAAUGCCCAAUCGGGACUUUUAUAACUUGUUAAAGUAAAUAAUUGUGUGGAGAACGCCCUAUAGUUAAAAAAAUAAACUAUGAAGAUAGUGGUUUGAACUCGUUACAUUUUAUAUAAUUGUGAUUAACAGCAACCUAUUACAGUUAGUAACAUAACAUUGUUGACACAUUGUGACAGCUCAAAUGAUGUGGUUGAAGAUGGACUAGUGCAGGGCUCCUAACCUUGUUCUUGGAGAGCUACUGUCUUGUUGGUUCACUUUGACCCUAAUCUAGUGCACCUGAUUUGAAUAAUUACCUGCUUAAUAAGUUAAUGAGGUUCGUUAAAACUGAGGUUGGAUUGAAAACCUACAGGAGGGUAGCUCUCCAGGAACAGGGUUGGAGAGCUUUGGACUAAUGAAUCUAGUUCUUAGAUCAAUGCAUUUGAAAUUCGAUAAGUCACUACGAAGGUGCAGUUCCCAGAAGUGGAGAUGUCACUUAAUGCAGUGGAUGGGAAGCCUUAUUUCAUGUAGUUCUAAUUAAAUGAUAAUGGUUGAA